rnacentral:rRNA from 1 species
GAUGAACGCUGGCGGCGUGCCUAAUACAUGCAAGUCGAGCGAACAGACGAGGAGCUUGCUCCUCUGACGCUAGCGGCGGACGGGUGAGUAACACGUGGAUAACCUACCUAUAAGACUGGGAUAACUUCGGGAAACCGGAGCUAAUACCGGAUAAUAUAUUGAACCGCAUGGUUCAAUAGUGAAAGACGGUUUUGCUGUCACUUAUAGAUGGAUCCGCGCCGCAUUAGCUAGUUGGUAAGGUAACGGCUUACCAAGGCAACGAUGCGUAGCCGACCUGAGAGGGUGAUCGGCCACACUGGAACUGAGACACGGUCCAGACUCCUACGGGAGGCAGCAGUAGGGAAUCUUCCGCAAUGGGCGAAAGCCUGACGGAGCAACGCCGCGUGAGUGAUGAAGGUCUUCGGAUCGUAAAACUCUGUUAUUAGGGAAGAACAAAUGUGUAAGUAACUAUGCACGUCUUGACAGUACCUAAUCAGAAAGCCACGGCUAACUACGUG